GCGCGGAGUGUCGUCUGUGGGGACAGGUGGGGAAGGGUCCCGGGAAUGUGGUGGGGACCGGACGCUGAGCGUGGGCCGACUCUGAAGGGGAGCGGCCGCCGUGAGUGUGGGCCUGCAGCCUUCUCCUGCCGCGCGCCCCCUGCCCGGGCCGCCGCGCGCGAGGCCCCUGGUGGCCCCCUUCCCUAGCCGGGCCCAGCGCGUCCCCGCCUGCCGCACUGGAAAGACCCGAAAACCUUGAACGUUUUUGUCUUUGGCAACUUGGGCCUGACUGCCUUCGAAAAGGGAGCCUCAAGCAGUUGUCAGGCGGCCCCUCUCGGCAGUAUACGCCCCCUCCGCUGGCCCCCUACCCCCUUUCAGGCCUUUAGGCCACGUUCCUCCCGCAUCUGCGGGCUCUGCAUCUCCUCUUUGGGGUGCUGCCCAGCCCUGUAGAACCAGGCACCGCUCUGACCUUGGGAGGGGAUUCCAUUCUCCUCCCAAAAGAUCCUCUCCCGAGAGGUAGUGAGAACUUGGUCCUGAUGUUUGACCAUGGAGAUGUGAGCCUUCCGCCCGAAGACCGGGUGAGGGCUCUCUCCCAGAUAGGCAGCACGGUGGAAAUAAAUGAAGACAUUCCACCUCGUCGGUACUUCCGCUCUGGAGUCGAGAUGAUCAGAAUGGCCUCCAUUUACUCUGAGGAAGGCAAUAUUGAACAUGCCUUCAUCCUUUAUAACAAGUACAUCACACUCUUUAUCGAGAAACUACCAAAGCAUCGAGAUUAUAAAUCGGCUGUCAUUCCUGAAAAGAAAGACAUGGUAAAGAAAUUAAAGGAGAUUGCAUUUCCCAAAGCGGAAGAACUAAAGGCAGAGCUGUUAAAACGAUAUGCCAAAGAAUAUACAGAAUACAAUGAAGAAAAAAGGAAGGAGGCAGAAGAAUUAGCCAGGAAUGUGGCCAUCCAGCAGGAACUAGAAAAGGAAAGGCAGAGGGUAGCACAACAGAAGCAGCAACAGCUGGAGCAGGAACAAUUCCAUGCCUUUGAGGAGAUGAUCCGGAACCAAGAGCUAGAAAAAGAGCGCCUGAAAAUCGUGCAGGAGUUUGGGAAGGUGGACCCUGGCCUGAGUGACCCGCUCAUCCCUGACUUGGAGAGGCCCUCUCCAGAUGUGUUCCCCACACCUCCUGUAGCAUCCACACAGCCUUCAGACUGUAAUACAGCUGUAAGACCUACCAAGCCACCUGUGGUGGACAGGUCCUUGAAACCUGGAGCGUUAAGCAACUCAGAAAGUACCCCUACCAUUGAUGGACUGCGCCAUGUGGUGGUGCCCGGGAGGCUCUGCCCACAGUUUCUCCAGUUGGCCAGUGCCAACACUGCCCGUGGAGUAGAGACAUGUGGGAUUCUCUGUGGAAAACUGAUGAGGAAUGAAUUUACCAUUACUCACGUUCUUAUCCCUAAGCAAAGCGCUGGGUCGGAUUAUUGCAACACUGAGAACGAAGAAGAACUUUUCCUCAUACAGGAUCAGCAGGGUCUCAUCACACUGGGAUGGAUUCAUACUCAUCCCACACAGACUGCCUUCCUCUCCAGUGUUGACCUGCACACUCACUGCUCUUACCAGAUGAUGUUGCCAGAGUCAAUAGCCAUUGUUUGCUCCCCCAAGUUCCAGGAAACUGGGUUCUUUAAACUAACUGAACAUGGACUGGAGGAGAUUUCUUCCUGUCGUCAGAAAGGAUUUCAUCCACACAGCAAGGAUCCACCACUCUUCUGUAGCUGUAACCACGUGACUGUUGUGGACAGAGGAGUGACCAUCACAGACCUUCGAUGAGAGUUUGGCUCAAUCACCCUUCCAAGAACUAUAAAACCAUUCCAGUAUACUGUAACCCCUUAAUUUAAACUCUCCAGAAAGCUCUAGAAGCUUUUGCAGACAAUAGAAAUCUACAGAGAAAGUGUAUUGCUUUUAUAAUUGGACAAAAAGGACAAUGCCUGCUAUUUUCAGAAACCAAAGUUCCACUGCUCCUUCAAUGUGGGAAUCCAGCCAAGUUCUUAUUCUUGGACAGCAUCACUGAGAGGGCCUUGGGAAUGCUCUUGGGCGCAGCAGCAGAGGCAUGUCAUAUAUGGAAACCUUCCAUGAGGAUGACCUCACCACUGGAACCCAUUCAGCAUAAACCUUGCCUACAAGAGCUAGCAGAGAUCUUUGAACAAAACCUGGAGGAUGGAGAGCCAAGAAAGAACUGACCUAAAGAAGAGAACCUCUAGGCUUAUGGUCUAGAAUACCCACCUGGGCUUAGUAGGUCUCCCCUGUGAUCAGUUCCUAGGGAAGGAUUACUUUUCCCAACCUCACUCCCAUCCAAAAAAGAAUUUCCACAAUGGCCCAUGGGUUGUUUGUUUUUUUCCCAGGCCUGAAUGAGAACAUAUGAUGUUACUUGUGCUGGACAAAUAGUAACGGGUUAUUAGUGGGUGACAGAAGUGGAAACAUCACCUAGACUAAAGGAAGGAAGACUAUUCUUAGAUAUUCCUCAGUCAUUCCCUGUAGUUAGCUUCCCAAUCCCUAGCAGUCUCCUUUCUUCACCUCACUUUGCCUUAAAAAAGCCAGUGGCACAUCAGACCAAAGACAAGUCCAUCAAAAUAUGGUCUGUACUGGCCCCAUUGCUGUACACCCUGAACAGCACUUGACACCCCUGUUUGCCAUGCGUAAACAUCUGCAUCUAGAAUUUCUCUCACCCAGCCUUGUGUUCUACACCUUUACCAUGACUCUGGAGUUUUAAAUUAUUUAUAAUUGAAUCAUGGUAGACUCAGGAUAAGUUUACACAAAUAUUUGAGUUCCCAGUCCCAGUGUUCCUUUGUAAGCACAAGGCCUCUGAUUAUGGCCUUGUGAGUUCAGUGUGGCCUAGAAAGAGACCACAUAACAACAGAAUCCUGUUUGGGUUUGAAUUCUUUUAAUUGCACUGAAAGAAAACUCAGUUCUCACUGGUGUUCAGGUACAGCUGAAUCCACUGCCCAUUGUCAUCAAGACUAAUUUUGUCUUCCUCUCUUGGCUCCUAUAUGCAGGAUUUGUUCAUUUAAUUAGGUUUUCCCAGUGUGGUAGCUUUGACAGUUCAUAGGUUUGUAUCCUAUUGUCUUGGUAAAUCCAACAAGAGAAAGAGAACUUCUGUGUCCAACAGUUGCCAUGAAUGUCCCGGAAUGGAGUCACUGGGUCAUGACAUUGGUCAUGACUAUUCUAGGACCAGUCACUAUGGCCAGUGUGAUAGAAUGCUCUGAUUGGACAGGCCUGGAUCAUGUACCUACACCUCAUCUGACCCACAUGCACUGAAAGUGGGGAAGCAUUCAUUUAAAAAAAAAAAAAAUGAUAGCAUCAAUAGUAGAAGGGGGAAUGGAUGCUGAGCCAGCAAAAGAAAUAGAUGUCUACAAUAGAUGCCUUGGAGAAAAAGCUAGGGCCUGCUGUCACCACCAUGGGUAGUAUGACCCAAAAUGAGCAAGCUAAUAAAAUAUAAAUGGGAGCACCAAGUGCUAUUGGCAAUAAUAGCACCUGAACUAUGGGGUUGUGACCCUUUCACUUCCAAAGUGGUGGGUCAUAUAUCCAGCCAGGCCCUUGGGUCAUUCAUGUAAUUUGCAUUUAUUGAGCACCUUCUGUAUAGAGCUCUGUUCAAAGAACACAGGGUAAAUGCUGUGCUCUGUCUUCAAGGAGCAAACAGUGAAGUAAGAUAAAGGAGUCAUACUCCCAUGAAAUCCACAAGAGCAGUUUCUUCAUAACUGAUGAGUGUAUACAGGAUAAGCACCAACUUUAUGCCUAAGUGUUGAGGUUACCCAAGCAAGGGAGAAAUGAAUGUUUUCAUUUUACUUAUACUCCACUUUUAUAACAAUCUCUUUAUUUAUAGUUAUAAUUUAUUUGUACUACAUUUUAAAUUCUUUCAACAAAUAUUUACUGUAUGCCCUAAGCACCAAGCCCCAUGGUAGACUCUAGAUACCUAGUAGAAAUGUUUUCCAGGGUAUGUGAAAUAUUACAAGGAGAAAACAUAUUGAAUGUGUGGCGGCAAAUGAAUAUAGAAUACAAGGAUGCAGCAAAGUGGAUCCAGUAAUAAAGCAAAAACUGUACACCAUGAUCACUUAUACUCCUAUGGAUAGGCUAUAUGAUGUGUGAUGUCAUAAUAUAAACAUUUGUAUAAUAAACCCAAAUAGCACAUGGAGGGUUCUGUUUUUCCAUAUAAAAGAUGGCCUCUCACUAAAGCACACUUAUAUAUUAAUUCUACUGGAACUCAGAUGGGUACAGGGGGUGGGGGCCAUAUUCAGCUCAGAUAGCUAGCUGUCUGCUUAUCUGUCUUAACCUAAGAGUGUAUCAUGUCAUAUCUGAGAGUUCAGAUAGACUGGGUGGAUUUUAAACAACUCCAAGUUUCUCUUGGUGAUACUUUAAUAAAUAUUUAGGGACAAUGAAUUUGGAAUUGUAAUCUUUGACAAGUGCCUGGGUGCAGCUGCCA